rnacentral:rRNA from 1 species
GGGUCAGUAGGUUGGUCGUGCCACCGGUACGUACUGGUCUCACUGAUUCCUCCUUCCUGAAGAACCGUAAUGCCAUUAAUUUGGUGUUGCGGGGAAACAGGACUGUUACUUUGAAAAAAUUAGAGUGUUUAAAGCAAGCUAACGCUUGAAUACAUUAGCAUGGAAUAAUGAGAUAGGACAAUCGAUCCUAUUUUGUUGGUUUCUAGGAUUGACGUA